rnacentral:rRNA from 1 species
GACGAACGCUGGCGGCGUGCUUAACACAUGCAAGUCGAACGGACAGGCCCUGCUUUUGUGGGGUGCUCGAGUGGCGAAAGGGUGAGUAACACGUGAGUAACCUGCCCUUGACUUUGGGAUAACUUCAGGAAAAUGGGGCUAAUAACGGAUAGGAGCUCCUGCUGCAUGGUGGGGGGUGGAAAGUUUCGGCGGUUGGGGAUGGACUCGCGGCGUAUCAGCUUGUUGGUGGGGUGGUGGCUUACCAAGGCUUUGACGGGUAGCCGGCCUGAGAGGGUGAUCGGCCACAUUGGGACUGCGAUACGGACCAGGCUCCUACGGGAGGCAGCAGUGGGGAAUAUUGCAGAAUGGGCGGAAGCCUGAUGCAGCAACGCCGCGUGCGGGAUGACGGCCUUCGGGUUGUAAACCGCUUUCGCCUGUGACGAAGCGUGAGUGACGGUAAUGGGUAAAGAAGCACCGGCUAACUACGUG